AACGAACGCUGGCGGCAGGCUUAACACAUGCAAGUCGAACGCAUCCUUCGGGGUGAGUGGCAGACGGGUGAGUAACGCGUGGGAACGUGCCCUUCAGUUCGGGAUAACCCAGGGAAACUUGGGCUAAUACCGGAUACGUGCGAGAGCAGAAAGAUUUAUCGCUGAAGGAUCGGCCCGCGUCUGAUUAGCUAGUUGGUGGGGUAAUGGCCCACCAAGGCGACGAUCAGUGGCUGGUCUGAGAGGAUGAUCAGCCACAUUGGGACUGAGAGACGGGCGAAACUCCGGCGGGAGGCAGCAGUGGGGAAUAUUGGACAAUGGGCGCAAGCCUGAUCCAGCCAUGCCGCGUGAGUGAUGAAGGCCUUAGGGUUGUAAAGCUCUUUCGUCCGGGACGAUAAUGACGGUACCGGAAGAAGAAGCCCCGGCUAACUUCGUGCCAGCCGCCGCGGUAA
rnacentral:rRNA from 1 species